AGAAAACCACUGCUGUUGCUAACUGUUCAGAAAGUUUGGCGACUCUUGAAGAAAUAUUACACCAUGGUCGAGAAAAUAAGAAACACACGAAUGCUGAGUUCAAUUGUCGUGUAGUGAUUAAAGGCGUACGUAAUAGCGAAGAGUGGUUCAGACUUAUGUGUGGAGGAGGAAAAUGCAUGAAAGAUGUAUCACGUGAUCACGGGGAGCUGUGGUGUGCUGGCUGUGAAAACCCAGUUAUGUUUCCCCGAGCAAGGUUCCAUCUUGAACUUGAUGUGCUCGAUUCCACGGCAAAUGCGGUCAUCGUGUGCUUCGAUGACACUGCACAGAUUCUAACAAGCACCACUGCUCAGUCUAUACUCAAUGUGGAAUCGGGUCUCUCGCAUAUCUACACCGUUUAUUCCGAAAGCAUCCAAGAUAGCUUCACUCCAGUCAUGAUACAGAACUCUA